AGAGAUGUAGCUCAGCUGGGAGAAUGCUUGACUAGCAUUCAAAAGGUCCUGGGUUUGAGCCCCAGCACUUCAU
rnacentral:tRNA from 1 species